GUCAAGGACCCGCCGCUAAAUCUUUGUAGAUUCUAGCGGAGGCUUGGAAACAAGCCCACAUUGACCAGCCCACCCACGGGUAAACGAUAUCAAGGUCACGACACCCCAGGAUGCGUGCCAGUUCUGGGCAACUGUC
rnacentral:sRNA from 18 species